rnacentral:rRNA from 1 species
GAGUUUGAUCCUGGCUCAGGAUGAACGCUGGUGGCGUGCCUUAGGCAUGCAAGUCGAACGGGUCCCGCAAGGGAUCAGUGGCAGACGGGUGAGUAACGCGUAGGAAUCUACCUCUGGGUAGGGCAUAGCUGGCCGAAAGGUCAGGUAAUUCCCUAUAGUCCCGCAAGGGUAAAGGACUUAACGGUCCGCCGAGAGGGAGCCUGCGUCCUAUCAGCUAGUUGGUGAGGUAAAGGCUCACCAAGGCGAUGACGGGUAGCUGGACUGAGAGGUCGAUCAGCCACAACUGCACUGAGACACGGGCAGUACACCUACGGGUGGCAGCAACCAGGAAUAUUGCGCAAUGGACGAAAGUCUGACGCAGCGACGCCGCGUGGAGGAAGACGGCCUUAGGGUUGUAAACUCCUUUUGCCAAGCCGUUCACAGCUUGGCGAAUAAGCCUCUACUAACUACGUGCCAGAAGUCUCGGUAAUACGUAGGAGGCAAGCGUUAUCCGGAUUUACUGGGCGUAAAGUGUGCGUAGGCGCCCCAUUAAGUCGUGUUUUAAAUACUAAGGCUUACCCUUAGACCUGAAUACGAUACUAUUGGGGUUGAGGAUUGACAGGGCAACUGGAACAGUGCGUGUAGCAGUGAAAUGCGUUGAUAUGCACUGGAACACCAGGGGCGAAGGCAGGUUGCUGGGUUUUUCCUGACGCUGAGGCACGAAAGCUAGGGUAGCGAAACAGAUUAGAUACCUGUGUAGUCCUAGCCGUAAACGAUGUCCGCUAACUCUCUGUUUCACAAAGCAUAGUACUUUGUACUAUUUUUUGUGAAGCAGGGGGUUCAAGCUAACGCGUUAAGCGGACCGCCUGGGGAGUACGACCGCAAGGUUAAAACUCAAAGGAAUUGACGGGGACCCGCACAACUGGUGGAGCGUGUGGUUUAAUUCGAGACGAAGCGAAACACCUUACCAGGGCUUGACAUGCUACCGUUUUAUACCUUUUGAAAGAUUGGUAGAUCCGCAAGGAUGGUAGCACAGGUGAUGCAUGGCUGUCGUCAGCUCGUGUCGUGAGGUGUUCCCUUAAGUGGGGAAACGAGCGCAACCCCCGCGAAAUGUUACAUAUUCAUUUCGGACGGUCCCGAUCAUAUCGGGAAGGAAGGAGGGGAAGACGUCAAGUCAGCACGUCCCUUAUGCCCUGGGUCACACACACCCUACAAUGGCGAACAACAAAGAGCCGCAAGUACGCGAGUGCAAGCAAAUCUCUAAAAUUUCGCCUCAGUUCAGAUUGCAGUCUGCAACCCGACUGCAUGAAGGAGGAAUCAGUAGUAAUCGCGGAUCAGCAGGCCGCGGUGAAUACGUUCUCGGGUCUUGUACACACCGCCCGUCAAGGCAGCAAAGUUGGGAGCGGAUGAAUCAUACCUAUAUGGCGUGAGAGUCCGAGCUUAGCGAUGAAGCUUAAGUCGUAACAAGGUAACCG